CUGGGGGUACUCACUGUAGUUGUCUGGCUCGGUGCGGUGGGACCACCUCUAUUAUAAGUUAGCGGCGGACGGGUGAGUAACACGUGAUUAACCUGCCCAUAAGACUGGGAUAACUCCGGGAAACCGGGGCUAAUACCGGAUAACAUUUUGAACUGCAUGGUUCGAAAUUGAAAGGCGGCUUCGGCUGUCACUUAUGGAUGGACCCGCGUCGCAUUAGCUAGUUGGUGAGGUAACGGCUCACCAAGGCAACGAUGCGUAGCCGACCUGAGAGGGUGAUCGGCCACACUGGGACUGAGACACGGCCCAGACUCCUACGGGAGGCAGCAGUAGGGAAUCUUCCGCAAUGGACGAAAGUCUGACGGAGCAACGCCGCGUGAGUGAUGAAGGCUUUCGGGUCGUAAAACUCUGUUGUUAGGGAAGAACAAGUGCUAGUUGAAUAAGCUGGCACCUUGACGGUACCUAACCAGAAAGCCACGGCUAACUACGUGCCAGCAGCCGCGGUAAUACGUAGGUGGCAAGCGUUAUCCGGAAUUAUUGGGCGUAAAGCGCGCGCAGGUGGUUUCUUAAGUCUGAUGUGAAAGCCCACGGCUCAACCGUGGAGGGUCAUUGGAAACUGGGAGACUUGAGUGCAGAAGAGGAAAGUGGAAUUCCAUGUGUAGCGGUGAAAUGCGUAGAGAUAUGGAGGAACACCAGUGGCGAAGGCGACUUUCUGGUCUGUAACUGACACUGAGGCGCGAAAGCGUGGGGGAGCAAACAGGAUUAGAUACCCUGGUAGUCCACGCCGUAAACGAUGAGUGCUAAGUGUAAGAGGGUUUCCGCCCUUUAGUGCUGAAGUUAACGCAUUAAGCACUCGCCUGGGGAGUACGGCCGCUAGGCUGAAACUCAAAGGAAUUGACGGGGGGCCCGCACAAGCGGUGGAGCAUGUGCUUAAUUCGGAAGCUACGCGAAGAAACUUACCAGGUCUUGACAUCCUCUGACAAUCCUAGAGAUAGGGCUUCUCUUCGGAAGCAGAGUGACAGUGGUGCAUGCUUGUCGUCAGCUCGUGGUCGAUGAGAAAUGCUGGUUAAAGUCCAGCAACGAAGGCUAAACAUGAAUCCUAAGGUGGCAAUACAUUUAGGUGGACUCUUAAGGUAACUGCCGGUAACUAACGAGUACGUGGGAUGAACGCUCAUA
rnacentral:rRNA from 1 species